rnacentral:rRNA from 1 species
UGAACGCUGGCGGCAGGCCUAACACAUGCAAGUCGAGCGGAUGACAGGAGCUUGCUCCUGAAUUCAGCGGCGGACGGGUGAGUAAUGCCUAGGAAUCUGCCUGGUAGUGGGGGACAACGUUUCGAAAGGAACGCUAAUACCGCAUACGUCCUACGGGAGAAAGCAGGGGACCUUCGGGCCUUGCGCUAUCAGAUGAGCCUAGGUCGGAUUAGCUAGUUGGUGAGGUAAUGGUUCACCAAGGCGACGAUCCGUAACUGGUCUGAGAGGAUGAUCAGUCACACUGGAACUGAGACACGGUCCAGACUCCUACGGGAGGCAGCAGUGGGGAAUAUUGGACAAUGGGCGAAAGCCUGAUCCAGCCAUGCCGCGUGUGUGAAGAAGGUCUUCGGAUUGUAAAGCACUUUAAGUUGGAGGAAGGGUUGUAGAUUAAUACUCUGCAAUUUUGACGUUACCGACAGAAUAAGCACCGGCUAACUCUGU